rnacentral:misc_RNA from 1 species
CCGAGGCAAAAGGGCCCGAGACCACGCUGUGGCAGACCAAGGAAAGAUCCCCAAUAGCCAACAAGAGGAGAGGAUCCAAACACGCAGCUCUAGUGAGCUCCGUCCCACACACAGACUCCGGCUCCCUGUGGCCCGCGGCGUGAGCGUGUCGUGUCCCGCAGGGCCACCUUUGCUCUCUAACCCCUUCCACCACACGCGACCGCCGUCCCCGCGCGAGUUGCCGAACCCACGUCUCCCCUCGCCCCGCGCCGACCCUACCAACCCUCGGGCCCGCCCAUGGAGAUCUCCGCCUCCGCUGCGCCGGCCGCCUCCUCCCCGCCCGCCAGGCCGCUGGUCCUGCGCCCGUUCGCCUCGUCAUCGCCCCACCCGGCUACGUCCUCCUCGACCACCAUCCGCCGCCGCCCAUCCUCAUCGGCCACUGCCACGGUCCGCCGCCGCGCGCGCACCCGCCCCCGUACAGGGCGGUCCAAGCCCCCCGCCGACUCGGGCGACUACUUCUCCGGCAACGACGGCCCCGGUCUCGGUGGUUCCGGCGGCGGUGACGGAGGAGGACGGUGGAGCUGGAACAGCGGGUUCGGCUCUGGAUCAGACGGCCCCGACGACUGGGAGCCCGAUGUGCCGGCGCCCCGGAGGUCAGCGGCGGAUGCGGCGCUCGGGGUCGUCUACGAGCUCAUGUGCCUCAUCGCGCUCUCCAACUGCACCCAGUUCGCCGUCCGCAGGCUCGCGGGCCUCCUCUCCGCCCGCGUCGCCGCAUUGCGAUUCGUCCCCACCGUCUGCUGAUCAUCCGUGGGGGUUUGUUUUACUUCCUCUUCCUCCUGCCCGUCUACCUGAAAUCGCUUCUGUACAUAUAUCAGCCUGCAACUGCGGUUUUAGGGGAUUGGGGCCUUGGGGGAAUCAGGACCUCUGCCUGUUGUUCCUCGGUGCGUGCCUCAAGCAUUAUACCGUUGAACAGUAGCAAAAUUCGUCGAAUCCAAUUGGAGAAACACAAAAAUAAGAUCAACUUGUUUAUCCUUUGUUGUUGUACUCAAGAUUGAUUGAUGCCUAUUGUGUUAGGAUGCAUCAUUAUCUGUUCCAUGUGUAUAUAAAUGUGCUGUUAUUAAGUUUCUUGGUACUUCAUGGAAUGUCAAGGGCAGUGCGUUUGGGGAAUUCUCAUAGAUCCGGUUAGUUGAAUGGAAGCUCAAUUAACUA